GUCGAACGGUCCCUUCGGGGAUAGUGGCGGACGGGUGAGGAACACGUAGCUAACCUGCCCUCAAGACUGGGAUAACCCUGCGAAAGCAGGGCUAAAACCGGAUAAGCUCACGAGGAAGAGAGGCCUGGUGAGAAAAGUCUAAGGAGCUUGAGGAGGGGGCUGCGGCCCAUCAGCUAGUUGGUAGGGUAAUGGCCUACCAAGGCGACGACGGGUAGGGGGCCUGAGAGGGUGACCCCCCACACUGGGACUGAGACACGGCCCAGACUCCUACGGGAGGCAGCAGUGAGGAAUAUUGCGCAAUGGGCGAAAGCCUGACGCAGCGACGCCGCGUGGACGAUGAAGGUCUUCGGAUCGUAAAGUCCUUUUCUGCGUGACGAGGAAGGACGGUAGCGCAGGAAUAAGUGUCGGCUAACUACGUGCCAGCAGCCGCGGUAACACGUAGGACGCAAGCGUUAUCCGGAAUUACUGGGCGUAAAGGGCGUGUAGGCGGCACGGUAAGUCAACCGUGAAAGCUCCCGGCUAAACUGGGAGAGGUCGGAUGAGACUGCCGAGCUAGAGGGUCGUAGAGGGGUGUGGAAUUCCGGGUGUAGUGGUGAAAUGCGUAGAGAUCCGGAGGAACACCAGAGGCGAAGGCGGCACCCUGGACGACACCAGGCGCUGAGACGCGACAGCACGGGGAGCGAACGGGAUUAGAAACCCCGGUAGUCCGUGCCGUAAACGAUGUGCACUAGAUGUUCGGUCCUCUACGGGGGAGUGAGCGUCGCAGCCAACGCGGUAAGUGCACCGCCUGGGGAGUACGGUC
rnacentral:rRNA from 1 species